GGAGCUUGCUCCUUUGACGUUAGCGGCGGACGGGUGAGUAACACGUGGAUAACCUACCUAUAAGACUGGGAUAACUUCGGGAAACCGGAGCUAAUACCGGAUAACAUAUUGAACCGCAUGGUUCAAUAGUGAAAGGCGGCUUUGCUGUCACUUAUAGAUGGAUCCGCGCCGUAUUAGCUAGUUGGUAAGGUAACGGCUUACCAAGGCAACGAUACGUAGCCGACCUGAGAGGGUGAUCGGCCACACUGGAACUGAGACACGGUCCAGACUCCUACGGGAGGCAGCAGUAGGGAAUCUUCCGCAAUGGGCGAAAGCCUGACGGAGCAACGCCGCGUGAGUGAUGAAGGUCUUCGGAUCGUAAAACUCUGUUAUCAGGGAAGAACAAAUGUGUAAGUAACUGUGCACAUCUUGACGGUACCUGAUCAGAAAGCCACGGCUAACUACGUGCCAGCAGCCGCGGUAAUACGUAGGUGGCAAGCGUUAUCCGGAAUUAUUGGGCGUAAAGCGCGCGUAGGCGGUUUUUUAAGUCUGAUGUGAAAGCCCACGGCUCAACCGUGGAGGGUCAUUGGAAACUGGAAAACUUGAGUGCAGAAGAGGAAAGU
rnacentral:rRNA from 1 species